ACGAACGCUGGCGGCGUGCUUAACACAUGCAAGUCGAACGGAAAGGCCCUGCUUGCAGGGUACUCGAGUGGCGAACGGGUGAGUAACACGUGGGUGAUCUGCCCUGCACUUCGGGAUAAGCCUGGGAAACUGGGUCUAAUACCGGAUAGGAGCCAUUUUUAGUGUGAUGGUUGGAAAGUUUUUUCGGUGUAGGAUGAGCUCGCGGCCUAUCAGCUUGUUGGUGGGGUAAUGGCCUACCAAGGAGGCGACGGGUAGCCGGCCUGGGAGGGUGGACGGCCACAUUGGGACUGACAUACGGCCCAGACUCCGACGGGAGGCCGCAGGGGGGAAUAUUGCACAAUGGGCGCAAGCCUGAUGCAGCGACGCCGCGUGGGGGAUGACGGCCUUCGGGUUGUAAACUCCUUUCGCUAGGGACGAAGCUUUUUGUGACGGUACCUAGAUAAGAAGCACCGGCUAACUACGUG
rnacentral:rRNA from 1 species